rnacentral:rRNA from 1 species
UUCGGCUAGGGGGCCAUCCCGGCUUACCAACCCGAUGCAAACUGCGAAUACCGGAGAAUGUUAUCACGGGAGACACACGGCGGGUGCUAACGUCCGUCGUGAAGAGGGAAACAACCCAGACCGCCAGCUAAGGUCCCAAAGUCAUGGUUAAGUGGGAAACGAUGUGGGAAGGCCCAGACAGCCAGGAUGUUGGCUUAGAAGCAGCCAUCAUUUAAAGAAAGCGUAAUAGCUCACUGGUCGAGUCGGCCUGCGCGGAAGAUGUAACGGGGCUAAACCAUGCACCGAAGCUGCGGCAGCGAACGUAUCACUUAAAGCGAUUCAGCGGGUUACGAUUGACGGAGCGAAGCGACGUCAAAGCGUAUACAAAGUCGAGUCGGUUUAAGGAUACGUUCGUUGGGUAGGGGAGCGUUCUGUAAGCCUGUGAAGGUGUGUCGUGAGGCAUGCUGGAGGUAUCAGAAGUGCGAAUGCUGACAUAAGUAACGAUAAAGCGGGUGAAAAGCCCGCUCGCCGGAAGACCAAGGGUUCCUGUCCAACGUUAAUCGGGGCAGGGUGAGUCGACCCCUAAGGCGAGGCCGAAAGGCGUAGUCGAUGGGAAACGGGUUAAUAUUCCCGUACUUGGUGUUACUGCGAAGGGGGGACGGAGAAGGCUAUGUUGGCCGGGCGACGGUUGUCCCGGUUUAAGCGUGUAGGCUGGUUUUCCAGGCAAAUCCGGAAAAUCAAGGCUGAGGCGUGAUGACGAGGCACUACGGUGCUGAAGCAACAAAUGCCCUGCUUCCAGGAAAAGCCUCUAAGCAUCAGGUAACAUCAAAUCGUACCCCAAACCGACACAGGUGGUCAGGUAGAGAAUACCAAGGCGCUUGAGAGAACUCGGGUGAAGGAACUAGGCAAAAUGGUGCCGUAACUUCGGGAGAAGGCACGCUGACAYGUAGGUGAAGUGAUUUACUCAUGGAGCUGAAGUCAGUCGAAGAUACCAGCUGGCUGCAACUGUUUAUUAAAAACACAGCACUGUGCAAACACGAAAGUGGACGUAUACGGUGUGACGCCUGCCCGGUGCCGGAAGGUUAAUUGAUGGGGUCAGCGCAAGCGAAGCUCCUGAUCGAAGCCCCGGUAAACGGCGGCCGUAACUAUAACGGUCCUAAGGUAGCGAAAUUCCUUGUCGGGUAAGUUCCGACCUGCACGAAUGGCGUAAUGAUGGCCAGGCUGUCUCCACCCGAGACUCAGUGAAAUUGAACUCGCUGUGAAGAUG